AAGUCGUAACAAGGUUUCCGUAGGUGAACCUGCGGAAGGAUCAUUAACACUUUUAUUGAUACGAGGAGCUGAGCAAUCUCUCCUCGCAUCAUCUCUACCCAACCGUGUCUUUGUUUAUUCGCCCCAAUACGUUGAUUCAUAUUGGGAUCAUUGGUCUCGUCGUAUCGCUUGUGUCACCCCAGGUGCACAAGGAUAAAACCGGCUCCUCACAUCCGUGACGAGUUGGGACGAUGAGCGUUUUUAACCAUUAUUUAAACCCUUUCAACAUUCCAACUGAUUCUCACAUUGUUCGUCCCCUGCGGACGUGCAUUGUGAGCGGCACAGCUUAACAACCUGUGAACCGUAAUUAACCAAAAUACAACUCUUAGCAACGGAUAUCUCGGCUGAC
rnacentral:misc_RNA from 1 species